UACGUAGGGUGCGAGCGUUGUCCGGAAUUAUUGGGCGUAAAGAGCUCGUAGGCGGUGUGUCACGUCGAUCGUGAAAACUUACAGCUUAACUGUGAGCGUGCGGUCGAUACGGGCAUCACUGGAGUUCGGCAGGGGAGACUGGAAUUCCUGGUGUAGCGGUGAAAUGCGCAGAUAUCAGGAGGAACACCGGUGGCGAAGGCGGGUCUCUGGGCCGAUACCGACGCUGAGGAGCGAAAGCGUGGGGAGCGAACAGG
rnacentral:rRNA from 1 species